rnacentral:lncRNA from 1 species
AAAAAAAACCAACAGUCUUAUAUUAUACCUUUGCUAUCGAUUUCCAAUUUUUAUAUUAAAACAUUUCAUCAAAAAAACAGAACAAACCAUAUAAUCAUCACUCAAGCAAAUUAUACAUGCUGACACAUUUAAACUUUGAAUAGUUAACCAAACGAUACUGAAUCCUCAAGCAUCAACCUUCAAAUAUCACACACAAUCAAUAGCCUUAUAACACUAUUACAAGUAAGACAAUUUAAAUCUUUUCAGAAAGAAUACCAAGCUAAACUUAAACGGAGCCAUAUGGUAACAUAAAUAAUAGGAUAGAAACAUGAUCUUAAAACUACCAAAGCUGCUCACUUAUCAUAAACCACAAUAGUCAGCCAACAAAUUCUUUCAAUACAAUUAUGCUAUAUGAAUUAUCUCUAACACUUACAGUCCUUAACCUGUAAACUAAACUUCAGUUUUACUUGAAACUCCAUAAAUCAUACUAAAGCCUACAUUCAUUCAAGAAUAGAUGUUAAAUAUAGAACAUACUUGCAUAACCAUGGUUAGCUUCAUUUGUCACAAAAGUAUCGACGAAACCUGCUCCUGUAACUUCUAAACAUGCUAUCUAACAUUGAAACUAAAUAUUUAACUCCAAACACAAUCCCCGAUUUAUAAUAUGCAAGUAACAACUUAUUUAACACUUAUCAUUACAGGUUCUACUACAUGAUAUGAAACAGUAAAAAAAACAGUGAAACACUAAGUCAACACAGCUUGUAUUCCAUCAAAUUUUCAGUUGAAUUAUGUAAUCAACAUCCAGUCAGUGUUCAUGGACUAGAGGGAUACCUGGAAAUGAAAGAAAAUAAGAGGUGAGGGAUCAGUAAUAGUAGUAGCAAAAGCUAGCCCAAAUGCAGUCAAUGAAACAAUGAAACCAGCUUAUGAAACCAAUGGAACAGUAGAAAAACUUUCAAACCAAACUCUUCACAAGCCCAGAUUCAAUCCAUUUUCACCCCAGAUGACUCGGAAAUCUUUUCAAAAAUUGAAGACUUCAGAAAUCACUGACCAAAACUGAAUGAACAACCGUUUUUAUAAAAUUUUAACCUUUUUUUGCAUAAUUUUUUCCCUCCAAGUAUGCCCUAAAAUCUCAUGUAACAAAGCCUUUAUAGGCAAACCAGUAGGGGAACCUUAAGGGUUCAGUUUUUGCAUUUUUUUCUCCUUUUUCAAUUUUUAUUUUUGCUACUUAAUUCCUGAAAUAUUGAUUUGCUUGCCAAGUAAGACUAUUUUUCAGCUUCUAGGAAGCUUGCUAGAUUAGUUAUUGAAAGAUUCCCAAGGUAGACUACCCUUAAAACCCCUAUUAUUUCCCCUCAGCAGACCACAUGGGUCAAUUUUGACCCAAAACUUAAAUAAAAAAUGAAUGGGUUUCUCUUGAAAAUGAGUCUGAAAAUCCCAAACCCAAACGACUUAGUUCAAGGAAUUUUGAUUUUUCUUCAGGGAACCCAAAUGGAUAUGGGUCAAAAUGACCCAAUGUUCCCCAAUAACAAAGCUUGAACUAAACCCCUUCCUUUUACACCCAAGUCCAAUUCAGAAAAAAAAAAGAAAAAUAUAAAAGUCAGAACAAAUAAUAAACAAAGUGCUUUGGAAUCAAACAGACUUCUGAACCAACUGGUCCCUUUAGAUCAAAAGUAAAAUAAAAUCAAACAAAUUAAACCAAAAUUUAAGGAAAUACCAAUUAACGAUUAGCCUGGAUUAAAGGGACACAUGCAGAGGUGAUUUUGAUAAAACAGAUGAAGAGAAGAAAAAUAGAUACAGUAAAGAAUAAAAUGAAAUAUAAAAUGACAAAAGAAAUCAUGCAAGACUAGCAAAUGAACAGAAAUACCUAGAAAUGAUGGCAGACCUUGAAGUUCUUCCUUAAUCUCUCGAUUUUGACCAAAAGGGGUCUCAAUCAUUUGUUCUCGAAUGAAAACACACGAACAAGGUCCGUUUUCGUUCUGUCACCAAAUCUGUCGAUUUUUAGAGUUUGUCCUUUAAGGUCUCAACUUCAAUUUAAUUCUCGAUGUGCUCAGGGCAUAUUCGAGGGAAAAUAACUACACAUUUGGAACGAAAGGGGGUUUGGAGGUCAUAUGGUGUUAGUUUGGGAUCGAAUGGUGGCAGUGCCGCCACCGGAGAAAGUUGGGUGGUGCUAGGGUUCCGCCCUUUGAUCUAAAAUUUGAGGUGUUUCAAAGGGUUUUGAGAUGAAUAGAAUGAAGAUUUGGGAUGGGAGGUGGAGGAGAAGCAGUGGUGUAAUUUUUGAAGUGAUUGGUCGAUGGACGCCGCCGUGGGCAAUUUCCGACAAGCGGCAGAUGGUGGUUUAAGGUGGCGUUUUGCUGGGGUAUAUAAGGGUGAAGUGAGAGACGACGGAGGGGGGGAGGUAAGAGAUGGGUUUGGACAUAUAAGUAUAUACUGACCUAUCAGUUCAGGAUCAUUAGAUUAGAAGAAAUCGACGGUCGAGAUUGGAUAGUUGUGAAACGGGGUCGU